rnacentral:rRNA from 1 species
AUGUUCCUUUACGUAGUUGGCCAUAACCAAAGGUAUAGGACACUACAACCUAUCUUUAGAAGAUCUAUCGAAGUCAUUAGUAGGCAUUUUAAGGCAGUGCUUUAUGCUGUUGGGAAGUUGAGAGAUGAGAUGAUUCGGCCUCCCUCCAACCAUUGCCAUCGUAAAAUACAAGAAAGCACUCGCUUCAAUCCAUAUUUCAAGGAUUGUGUUGGAGCAAUAGAUGGGACUCAUGUGCUUGCUAGAGUCCCAAAAGUAUCUCAGCUGCCUUUAGGGUAG